AUAGAUAAUAUAGCUGUUAGGAAAAAAAAGAACUAAAUAACAGGAAAAAAGCAGUAUGCAGCAAUAAAAUUAAUACCUACGUAAAACUAGCAGUGCAAUAAGAGAAGCAGAAAGCAGCUUUACAUGGAAAAAAAAAGGUAUUUAAAUACAGAAAUAGCACCUUAUAAAAAGGAAUUGAGAAAUGUAAACUUGGUAGGUAGAUUCAAGUAUAAAAGUUAUACCCCCAACUCUUGUACCAGAAUGAAAGGGUUUCACAAACCCUGGACAGUGUAGGGCACACACCUUCCUCAGUGCCAACUCAAAAGCUGCAGGAUCGCCAACAAUGGGUUUUUCCUUUUACUAAUUUACACAAUGAUCGACUCAGGCUGGCUACAGCUUCUUCACGCACGCAAAUACCCACGUGCAGCUCAGCAGCGUCACUACCGCCAGUUGCUCUGUAAGAAACAGACUCGCGUCCUGACAGGAGCAACCACUGCAUUAUUAUUUCAUCUUUAUGUAUCACAAAGCCACAUUAAGAGGUGGGUACUGAGCACAGAAGGAGUUUGUUCUUAGUUUUCUACUGCUAAGUAUGUCACAGUCAUAAUGGUCUCCUCUAUGGGGCUGCUUCUUAACACUCCUCAAGAACCGUGAAUUCUCUGAGGUUUAUGUAGUCAUAUCAUGAACAGAAUAAAAAAAGAUGAAAAAGAAGUUAAAGUAGUAAGUGGCGAGCAUCCAAGAACAGGAAGGGCAGAUUGUUACGUCUUGAUGGGGAACCUAUCAUACUAGUUUAGGGUAAUCAUUACCAUGCAAUUGUUGAUGAUCAGAACCAUGUUUUUAUCUGUUUAACUCUAGAGAAGACUGAAAAAGGGAAAAAAAAAAUCUUGUAAACUUUAAAAGUUUAGUGUUGAUAAAAAAUUUUAUAUAAUAGCAAAUUUAUUUAAUCUGACUACCUACCUGAAGUUUUCAAAAAUCUCGUGGGGGUAAUAAGGCUAAUAUUAUCCUGUAGUUAAUAUAAAGCUACUUUACUGAGACUCCCAGAGUCUCUUAAAUUAAUAUUUUUAUUCUUUCAUAUAAU
rnacentral:lncRNA from 1 species